GUGAUUGGUAGCUGGUGAUUGGUGAUUGGCGGCCAGCCACGCAUGAUUUGAGUCCUCAUGGUAGAACUACCAGCAAGCUUAACAUUUCUCCCAUAAAGACUCGAUCACCGAUAAGAUGACGUGCGGACUCGGCGUAUCCUGCCAGGAAUAGCAGGGGCGGAGCCUUCCCCAAAAGAGAGGACGUAGGCCUACGCCGGAAAUAGGUGAUAACUCGGCAUGUCCUGCCGGGACUAGCAGGAGCGGAGCCGACCCCAAAAAAAGAAUAGCGAAAGGGGGCUGACCCGAGGCUGCCGUGUGACGCCGCAGACGCAACUUCCGGGGUAGCCGGCUUGGUUUGCUUUGUUUGGUUUGGUUAGCAGGACGCUUAGCGUCGACCUGCUAUCUCGGUUUGUAUCGGUUUGUAUCUACUUUUCGGUAUUUAUAUCUGUGACCUGUUCUGCAUACUCUGUAUUGUAUUCGCUGCUUCCUCCCUGGAGCUCCGUCUGCAUCAACCACGGUAAGCAUGGAUUGGGAUUGUUCUUGCUCUGCCUUUCUCAUGGAUAAGAUAGCUCUGUUAAAGAGACGUAUCUCUCAGUUAGAGGAUGAAAGGGUAGCGAGCGUAGAGAAAACAGAUAUUCCAGAAAGUAUAGAGAAGAGACCCGCCAGGCGGACUCGUGGAGCUAACGCUAUCGUUAGCAGUGACUCCGUCAAGGUAAUCCUGUCGGCAGCACCACUUGCGAGGCAGGUUGCGGUCAGUACCCUGCCUCGCAAGUCUUUUUCGGGGGUAGAAACGCUAGUCAUAGGUGACUCUGUUACACGUAAAGUUAGGCUCACUCGCCAGCGACAGUUAUUUGCCUACCCGGGGCCAGGGCUCCCGACAUUGAAGCUAAACUUAGGGUGCUAACAUGCGGUGAGACCUCAUACGGAGUUAGAUUAGAUGCACCAAACACCGACAUUAGCUUCGACAACAUUGUAGUUCAUGUCGGCACCAACGAUGCUAGGACAAGACAAACUGAGGUCACAAAAAGCAACAUAGCUAGGCUUUGUGACUUCGCCAGAAAGAUG
ensembl:lncRNA